rnacentral:rRNA from 1 species
UACAGAGGGUGCAAGCGUUAAUCGGAAUUACUGGGCGUAAAGCGUGCGUAGACGGUUAUGUAAGUCGGGUGUGAAAGCCCCGGGCUCAACCUGGGAAUGCCAUUCGAGACUGCAUAGCUAGGGUGCGGAAGAGGGAAGCGGAAUUUCCGGUGUAAGCGGUGAAAUGCGUAGAUAUCGGAAGGAACACCAGUGGCGAAGGCGACUUACUGGACACAUAUUGACGCUGAGGUGCGAAAGCGUGGG